rnacentral:rRNA from 1 species
GAUGAACGCUGGCGGCGUGCUUAACACAUGCAAGUCGAGCGGGCAAUUUAUCUAGCACUGAUUACUUCAAAUGGAAAUCAUAAGUGUAAUCAUGAAUUUCUACCUUUAAUAAAGAAAAAAGAAAUUCAUGUACGCAAAUAGUGAUAACACAUUUUAGUGAAGUGAUGAGUGCUGGAUAAAUUGCUAGCGGCGGACGGGUGCGUAACACGUGGGUAACCUGCCCCUAUCACUGGGAUAACACACUGAAAAGUGUGCUAAUACCAGAUAAUAUAAGCUUUUGGCAUCAUUAGCUUAUCAAAGAAUUUCGGAUAGGGAUGGGCCCGCGUCUGAUUAGCUAGUUGGUGAGGUAACGGCUCACCAAGGCAACGAUCAGUAGCCGACCUGAGAGGGUGAUCGGCCACACUGGAACUGAGACACGGUCCAGACUCCUACGGGAGGCAGCA